ensembl:snRNA U6 U6 spliceosomal RNA
GUGCUCAUUUUGGCAGCUCACAUACUAAAACUGGAAUAAUCCAAAGAUUAGCUUGGUCCCUUGAAAGGGUGACAUGAAAAUUCGUGAAUCAUUCCAAACGCAC